AGAAACUUAACUCUGUACAAUUCCAUCCGAUGAAACAUUGUACAGAGU
rfam:Eubacterium sp. An11 An11_contig_26, whole genome shotgun sequence.